ensembl:misc_RNA 7SK 7SK RNA
GGAUAUGAAGAUGAUUUGGCUGCGACAUCUGUUACCCCACUGACCACCAGGGUUGACUGGGUUGACCUGACUGGUUGGGUGGUUGUCCCCUGCCUCCUUCAGUACUCCAUGUGCAUCCUUCCCGAAGCUGUGCGCUUGGUCAAAGAGUCUUCCCCAAACAGAGAGGGGCAAGGGCAAGUAGCUGUCCCCAGCUAAAACCUCCAAUCAAGUUCUCAAGGUCCCAUGACAGGUGUCUAUUCCCACCACUACAGUUUGCCUCCAUUCUGGUGCACUGGUCCCAAUGAUG